GUCAACCACCCCGUCCUGAAGGACGGAGCUUGAAAGGAGGUUCGACAAGCUCGGGUUGACCAGGGAGAGCGGUAUCCAACCCGCCACGUUGCGUACAGGUCCAAGACCCACCGGCGAAUGCUUCCUCAGUUCGCCGCUCUGGAAGUCCCGGAUGCAGACAACCGCGAGGGCAAGGACGAAACGGUCCGGGGACAAUACGCCGGUACGCACCAUUCCCGAGGGGAGACGCUU
rfam:Leptospirillum sp. Group IV &apos;TBA BS&apos; genomic scaffold D084_Lepto4S00026, whole genome shotgun sequence.